CACCAAGCCUUCGAUGGAUAGGGGUUCUGAGAGGAAGGUCCCCCACAUUGGAACUGAGACACGGUCCAAACUCCUACGGGAGGCAGCAGUGAGGAAUAUUGGUCAAUGGGCGCUAGCCUGAACCAGCCAAGUAGCGUGAAGGAUGAAGGCUCUAUGGGUCGUAAACUUCUUUUAUAUAAGAAUAAAGUGCAGUAUGUAUACUGUUUUGUAUGUAUUAUAUGAAUAAGGAUCGGCUAACUCCGUGCCAGCAGCCGCGGUAAUACGGAGGAUCCGAGCGUUAUCCGGAUUUAUUGGGUUUAAAGGGAGCGUAGGUGGACUGGUAAGUCAGUUGUGAAAGUUUGCGGCUCAACCGUAAAAUUGCAGUUGAUACUGUCAGUCUUGAGUACAGUAGAGGUGGGCGGAAUUCGUGGUGUAGCGGUGAAAUGCUUAGAUAUCACGAAGAACUCCGAUUGCGAAGGCAGCUCACUGGACUGCAACUGACACUGAUGCUCGAAAGUGUGGGUAUCAAACAGGAUUAGAUACCCUGGUAGUCCACACAGUAAACGAUGAAUACUCGCUGUUUGCGAUAUACAGUAAGCGGCCAAGCGAAAGCAUUAAGUAUUCCACCUGGGGAGUACGCCGGCAACGGUGAAACUCAAAGGAAUUGACGGGGGCCCGCACAAGCGGAGGAACAUGUGGUUUAAUUCGAUGAUACGCGAGGAACCUUACCCGGGCUUAAAUUGCAGUGGAAUGAUGUGGAAACAUGUCAGUGAGCAAUCACCGCUGUGAAGGUGCUGCAUGGUUGUCGUCAGCUCGUGCCGUGAGGUGUCGGCUUAAGUGCCAUAACGAGCGCAACCCUUAUCUUUAGUUACUAACAGGUUAUGCUGAGGACUCUAGAGAGACUGCCGUCGUAAGAUGUGAGGAAGGUGGGGAUGACGUCAAAUCAGCACGGCCCUUACGUCCGGGGCUACACACGUGUUACAAUGGGGGGUACAGAAGGCAGCUAGCGGGUGACCGUAUGCUAAUCCCAAAAGCCUCUCUCAGUUCGGAUCGAAGUCUGCAACCCGACUUCGUGAAGCUGGAUUCGCUAGUAAUCGCGCAUCAGCCACGGCGCGGUGAAUACGUUCCCGGGCCUUGUACACACCGCCCGUCAAGCCAUGGGAGCCGGGGGUACCUGAAGUACGUAACCGCAAGGAUCGUCCUAGGGUAAAACUGGUGACUGGGGCUAAGUCGUAACAAGGUAGCCGUACCGGAAGGUGCGGCUGGAACACCUCCUUU
rnacentral:rRNA from 1 species